ensembl:snRNA U6 U6 spliceosomal RNA
UUGCUUGCUUUGGCAACACAUGUACUAAAAACUGGAACAAUACAAAGAAAAUUAGCAUGGCCCCUGCACAAGGAUGACAGGCUAAUUCAUGAAGCAUUCUUUAUUUUU